AAAGUACAAUACAACUCAAUCAGCAAUGGUGAGGAUUACUGGUUUCUUGGCGAUCGUGUUGGCAUUAAUUGUAUCAAUCACUCUGGUGGCAGAAGCAGAGCACACGGGCUUUGAAUGUAAUGGAUCCAAGAACCAGAAAGCAUUAGACGCGUGCAGUCCAUUUACUUGGAGAGGUGCGAAAGAGCCAUCUGGUGAGUGCUGCAGCAGGUUUAGAGCAUUCAUUGAAACAGCCAAAACUGCAGAAGAAAGGAGAGAACUUUGUUCUUGCGUCCAGCGAAACACUAUAGUAUAUAAAGCAAUUGUUAAAAAUGUGGAUGCUCUGUGGGGGAUAUGUGGAGUGCCUUUUCUAUUCUCGUCUGAUUCUAAGUUCGACUGCAACAGUGUAAACUGAGGCACGCCUUGGAUGCAUGCAGCUGGAGAAGACCCCAAUAUUUAUGUAAUUCAUGGUUGUCAUAUUUCACUCCAUAAAUAUGUAGUGUCCUUACAUACUCAUUAAUAAAUAAAGGUAAGGACUGUUUGAAACAUUGAAGAAUAAUAAGAAAUUUAGUUGUU